rfam:Desulfotomaculum kuznetsovii DSM 6115, complete genome.
UAACCCGUGUCGAGAGGCACGGCUGAACCGGCAGGAGACAGCAGAGGGCAUAGUACCCUGGGGGUCAUAAACUCGUGGACUUUGAUGGGGAGGCU